rnacentral:sRNA from 1 species
GCCGGGCAUGGUGGCGCACACCUGUAAUCCCAGCAGCUCGGGAGGCUGAGGCAGGAGGAUCUUGAGUUCAAAGCCAGCCUCAG